rnacentral:lncRNA from 10 species
AAAAUUCAGCUUCCACAUACCAUCUUAACGUUUGCACUACUAAAAAAGAAUAGGACCCGGUAUGGUGGCUCACACCUGUAACCCCAGCACUUUGGGAGGCUGAGGCGGGCUGAUCUCUUACGGUCGAGCUUGAGACCAGCCUGGCCAACAUGGUGAAACCCCAUCUCACCUAAAUAUACAAAAAUUACACAGACCUGGUGAUAGGCGCCUGUAAUUCCAGCUACUCGGGAGGCUGAAGCACAAGAAUUGCUUGAGCACUUGAAUCCGGAGGCAGAGGCUAUAGUGAGCCAAGAUCACAACACUGCACUCCAUCCUGGGCGAUAGAGUGAGAUUCUCGAAACACAGUAAUCCGUUACCCUGACUGCUGGAAACAGCGUCAGUUACAGCCCCAAUUCAAAUGCGACAGCCAAACCAAACCUCAGGCAUACCUACAUGUGGGCAAAACCUCAGCUGAGGCUUGGCCUUGACAAUGCAGGGCCAGAGCUGCCCCCGCCUUUGCCGAGAACCCCACAGCCCUACUUCACAGUCCCCACCUGCCUUCCUGAGGACAGAGUAAAAGGCGGAAAAUGAUCAUGUUAACCUUAUCAGCACUGACAAGAUUAGGCCUCCUCACAUCUUAGGCACUAUUUAGAAAAACAAAUAGUUUUCUAAGCUAUUGGCGCUCACACCUGAAAUCCCAGCACUUUGGGAGGCUGAGGACAGAGUAAAAGGCGGAAAAUGAUCAUGUUAACCUUAUCAGCACUGACAAGAUUAGGCCUCCUCACAUCUUAGGCACUAUUUAGAAAAACAAAUAGUUUUCUAAGCUAUUGGCGCUCACACCUGAAAUCCCAGCACUUUGGGAGGCUGAGGCAGAAGGAUCGCUUGAGCCCGGGAAGGAGACCAGCCUGAGCAACAUAGUGAGACCCCAUUACUACAAAAAAAGUAAAAAUUAGGUCAGCACAGUGGCUCACGCCUAUAAUUCCCAGCACUUUGGGAGGCCGAGGCGGGCAGAUCACUUGAGGUCAGGAGUUCGAGACCAACCAGGCCAAGCAAAAUUCUGUCUCAAAAUAAAUAAAAAUUAGCUGGGCAUGGUGGCACAUGCCUGGAGUCCCAGCUACCUGGCAGGCUGAGGCAGGAGAGUCCAGGAGGUGGAGGAUGCAGUGAGCUGACUGCACCACUAUACUCAUCUGGGAGACAGCAAGACUCUGCCUCUAAAAAAGUGUUUACAAGGCCGGGCACAGUGGUACAAUCCCAACGCUUUGGGAGGCCAAGGCGGGUGGAUCACAAGGUCGAGUGAUCAAGAUCAUCCAGGCCAACAUGGUGAAACCUCAUCUCUACUAAAAAUAUAAAAAUUGGCUGGGCGUGGUAGCACACGCAUGUAAUCCCAGCUACCCAGGAGCCCGAGGCAGAAUUGCUUGAACCCGGGAGGUGGAGGUUGCAGUGAGCAGAGAUGGUGCCAUUCCACUCCAGCCUAGCAAACGGUGAGACUCCAUCUCAAAAAAAAAAAAAAAAAAAAUGGGUUUCUAAUAAACUAGUCAGGACUGGGGUGACCACAGAAAAUCCUGAUGGCAGAUAGAACUUGUGAGCUCGUCAGCAAUUCGGAAAGUUGCUGAAACCUGCGAAGUUCAAUCCAGAGCCCCUCGCUCCACAGGGCCAUCCAAAUGCGUUCAAAGUGACAUCUCGUAAUUCCUUGCCGCACUGAUCCUACUUCAAAUGCUCAGCAGACCCGCGCAGCUGGCAGCUGCUUCUCUGAAUGACACAGGGGUAGGGCAUUCCCACCAUUCCAGAACGUUCCACCUAACACUGAGGCAGCCCCAGGCUGCACCUAACUAGGGCCCGGGUCCCCUUCUAGGCUCCAGGGAGCCCAGUACUGGGCAGCCCCGCUCCCCUGCGAAGACACCGUGAAAAAUGCAGAACAGAG